rnacentral:rRNA from 1 species
AGAGUUUGAUCAUGGCUCAGAUUGAACGCUGGCGGCAUGCCUUACACAUGCAAGUCGAACGGCAGCACGGGAGCAAUCCUGGUGGCGAGUGGCGAACGGGUGAGUAAUAUAUCGGAACGUGCCCAGUCGUGGGGGAUAACGCAGCGAAAGCUGUGCUAAUACCGCAUACGAUCUAUGGAUGAAAGCGGGGGAUCGCAAGACCUCGCGCGAUUGGAGCGGCCGAUAUCAGAUUAGCUAGUUGGUGAGGUAAAGGCUCACCAAGGCGACGAUCUGUAGCUGGUCUGAGAGGACGACCAGCCACACUGGAACUGAGACACGGUCCAGACUCCUACGGGAGGCAGCAGUGGGGAAUUUUGGACAAUGGGCGCAAGCCUGAUCCAGCAAUGCCGCGUGCAGGAUGAAGGCCUUCGGGUUGUAAACUGCUUUUGUACGGAGCGAAACGGUUCUUUUUAAUAAAGAGAGCUAAUGACGGUACCGUAAGAAUAAGCACCGGCUAACUACGUGCCAGCAGCCGCGGUAAUACGUAGGGUGCGAGCGUUAAUCGGAAUUACUGGGCGUAAAGCGUGCGCAGGCGGUUUUGUAAGACAGAUGUGAAAUCCCCGGGCUCAACCUGGGACCUGCAUUUGUGACUGCAAGGCUAGAGUACGGUAGAGGGGGGUAGAAUUCCAGGUGUAGCGGUGAAAUGCGUAGAGAUCUGGAGGAAUACCGGUGGCGAAGGCGGCCCCCUGGACAAAGACUGACGCUCAGGUGCGAAAGCGUGGGGAGCAAACAGGAUUAGAUACCCUGGUAGUCCACGCCCUAAACGAUGUCAACUGGUUGUUGGGUCUUUACUGACU